GCUCCCGUCGUUCAACGGACAGGACACACCCCUGCGGAGGGUGAAAUACAGGUUCGAUUCCUGUCGGGAGCGCUA
rnacentral:tRNA from 1 species